rnacentral:rRNA from 1 species
UGGGGGAUAUUGCACAAUGGGGGGAACCCUGAUGCAGCGACGCCGCGUGAGUGAAGAAGUAUUUCGGUAUGUAAAGCUCUAUCAGCAGAGGAGAAAAGAACGUCCUAGGGACGUCCGGACGGUAUCUGCAGAAGAAGCCCCGGCUAACUACGUGCCAGCAGCCGCGGUAAUACGUAGGGGGCAAGCGUUAUCCGGAUUUACUGGGUGUAAAGGGAGCGUAGACGGCAUAGCAAGUCUGGAGUGAAAGCCCAGGGCCCAACCGUGGGACUGCUCUGGAAACUGUUAAGCUGGAGUGCGGGAGAGGUAAGCGGAAUUCCUGGUGUAGCGGUGAAAUGCGUAGAUAUCAGGAGGAACACCGGCGGCGAAGGCGGCUUACUGGACCGUAACUGACGUUGAGGCU